rnacentral:misc_RNA from 1 species
GGUUGGAUCAUUACUGAUUUAUGCAGUCUCUGCUUGUCCCGGUGUAACAGCCAGUCGACUUGCAGAGGCUACUUACCCCUGUGCAAACAUGAUAGUUUUUUGGGUUGGUAUCUCUGGAUAUCGGCCCAGCAUUUACAAACCACUGUUUUAAUUUGUCUGAAACUAAGAGAAACAAUCAAUAACAACUUUUGACAACGGAUCUCUUGGCUCUCGCAACGAUGAAGAACGCAGCGAAAUGCGAUACGUGAUGUGAAUUGCAGAAUCUCGUGAAUCAUCGAAUCUUUGAACGCACAUUGCACUCUAGCUUGCUAGAGUAUGCCUGUUUGAGAAUCUAAUGUAUCUCUUCCAACCUUGGACCUUGGUUCAUUGCUUGGAGUUUUGGGGCUUCUGUUUUCCCGGAAACAGUGCGCUGAAUUAGAUUAACCAGCAGCGAGCUAUGUUAUGAUGGCCUGCAAAAGUCUGCUGAAAAGUAUAUGCAUGGAACUCUGGUUUCUCAUAGUACUAAUUAAGAGACAGCACUGCCUAGCAUGGUUUUUGACUGCGGGUCCACAACCAUAAAGUGAAUUCAGCAUUGAAUGCACUUGAAACAAUGGUCUCAAAUCAGGUAGGACUACCCGCUGAACUUAAGCAUAUCAAUAAGCGGAGGAAAAGAAACUAACAAGGAUUCCCUCAGUAACGGCGAGUGAAGUGGGAAUAGCUCAAAUUUGAAAUCUCUUCGGAGAAUUGUAGUUUAGAGAAGCGUUUUCGAGGUAGGCCCGUGGUACAAGUCCUUUGGAACAAGGCAUCACAGAGGGUGAAAAUCCCGUCUUUGACCAUGGGUCCUAUUUCAUAUGAUACGUUUUCCAAGAGUCGGUUUGUUUGGGAAUGCAGACCAAAAUGGGUGGUAAAUACCAUCUAAAGCUAAAUAUUGGCGAGAGACCGAUAGCGAACAAGUACCGUGAGGGAAAGAUGAAAAGAACUUUGAAAAGAGAGUUAAACAGUACGUGAAAUUGUCAAAAGGGAAACGUUUGAAACCAGUAUUGUAUGCAUGAAUUUAGCUGUGAUUUAUUGCAGUGCCCUUUUGUGUAGCAAGUCAACAUCAGUUUGGGCUUGAGUAAAAAGCCAGAGAAAGGUGAUCCUGCGGGAUGUUAUAGUCUCUGGUCAUGCUCAGGUCUGGACUGAGGACUGCGGCUUUGCCAAGGAUGUUGACGAAAUGGUUUUAAGUGACCCGUCUUGAAACACGGACCAAGGAGUCUAACAUGUAUGCGAGUAUUUGGGUGGUAAACCCUUGUGCGCAAUGAAAGUGAAAAGGUGGGAUCUUCGGAGCACCAUCGACCGCGCUCGAUUAUUACUAUUGUAGCGUGAGUAUGAGCAUACAUGCUAGGACCCGAAAGAUGGUGAACUAUACCUGAAUAGGGUGAAGCCAGAGGAAACUCUGGUGGAGGCUCGUAGAGGUUCUGACGUGCAAAUCGAUCUUCAAAUUUGGGUAUAGGGGCGAAAGACUAAUCGAACCAUCUAGUAGCUGGUUCCCUC